rnacentral:rRNA from 1 species
UAGGGAAUAUUAGUAAUGGGCGAAAGCCUGAACUAGCAACGCCGCGUGUGCGAAGAAGGCCUUCGGGUUGUAAAGCACUUUUUGAGAGGAUGAGGAAGGACGGUACUCUCAGAAUAAGUCUCGGCUAACUACGUGCCAGCAGCCGCGGUAACACGUAGGAGGCAAACGUUAUCCGGAUUUACUGGGCGUAAAGCGCGUGUAGGUGGUUUGGUAAGUAGGGCGUGAAAGCUCCUGGCUCAACUGGGAGAGGCCGUUCUAAACUGCCGAACUAGAGGAUUGUAGAGGGAGGUGGAAUUCCGGGUGUAGCGGUGGGAUGCGCAGAUAUCCGGAGGAACACCAGUGGCGAAAGCGGCCUCCUGGACCAUUCCUGACACUCAGACGCGAAAGCUAGGGUAGCAAACGG